UGCGUGCUGUGAUGAAUCACAAGGACGGUAUCUGAGUAAGGUUGCUCUUGAAAAGGCCAACUUCCUUGAUUAACACCCUAAACUGAUGAUAUAUUCUGAGCAUGCG